GACGAACGCUGGCGGCGUGCUUAACACAUGCAAGUCGAACGGAAAGGCCCUGCUUUUGUGGGGUGCUCGAGUGGCGAACGGGUGAGUAACACGUGAGUAACCUGCCCUUGACUUUGGGAUAACUUCAGGAAACUGGGGCUACUACCGGAUAGGAGCUCCUGCUGCAUGGUGGGGGGUGGAAAGUUUCGGCUGUUGGGGCUGGACUCGCGGCUUAUCAGCUUGUUGGUGGGGUAGUGGCUUACCAAGGCUUUGACGGGUAGCCGGCCUGAGAGGGUGACCGGCCACAUUGGGACUGAGAUACGGCCCAGACUCCUACGGGAGGCAGCAGUGGGGAAUAUUGCACAAUGGGCGGAAGCCUGAUGCAGCAACGCCGCGUGCGGGAUGACGGCCUUCGGGUUGUAAACCGCUUUCGCCUGUGACGAAGCGUGAGUGACGGUAAUGGGUAAAGAAGCACCGGCUAACUACGUG
rnacentral:rRNA from 1 species